rnacentral:rRNA from 1 species
CUACGGGCGGCAGCAGUGAGGAAUAUUGGUCAAUGGGCGCAAGCCUGAACCAGCCAAUCCGCGUGCAGGAUGAAUGCCCUAUGGGUUGUAAACUGCUUUUAUACAGGAAGAAUCCUUCAUACGUGUAUGGAGCUGACUGUACUGUAAGAAUAAGCAUCGGCUAACUCCGUGCCAGCAGCCGCGGUAAUACGGAGGAUGCGAGCGUUAUCCGGAUUUAUUAGGUCUAAAGGGUGCGUAGGCGGAUAAUUAAGUCAGUGGUGAAAUCCUGCAGCUUAACUGUAGAACUGCCAUUGAUACUGGUUGUCUUGAGUUUAGUUGAGGUAAGCGGAAUGUGUAGUGUAGCGGUGAAAUGCUUAGAUAUUACACAGAACACCGAUUGCGAAGGCAGCUUACUAAGCUACAACUGACGCUGAGGCACGAAAGCGUGGGGAGCGAACAGGAUUAGAUACCCUAGUAGUC